AGGGGUUUUCAGCAGCCAUGGGAAGAAGACUAAUAGAUGCAGAACGUGAGUGUCUCAGAUAUCACACAGUGUCCCCAUUGCCUGGAUGUCAUGUUGGAAGUGGAACCCGUGUCAAUGAAAAUGUGCAGUCAUGUGUUUCCUAGAGAAGGGCCCAGUGUCGGACUGGGGCAUUUAGGGCCCACCGGGGGAAUGCAAUGCCCCACAGGUCUUAAGGACUGGGAAUAGAAGAGUCACCAUUAAUUUAAAGAUGUGACUUGUGCUCCAUCAUAGCAUUAAUUCCUAGACUGCCAUGAAUCAUACUGGUGAGUGAUGAGCGGCUUUCAUUUUCUUGUACAUCAGCAGAUAACUGGAGAGAAAAGGAGUUUUUCCAGAGGCUGCAUUUAUCAGCUCAUGAUCAUUGGUGUUUAUUUGAGCUACUCAAAAAAUCAAAUGAAUGAAGAUUUAACCUUUUGGAUCCUCUCCUCUAUAAAAUAUAUGACAGAUGUUUUUUCCACAGCAUAUGAAUAAAUAUAUGUGUAUUGUACAUAAUGUUGCCCUAUGAAAUAUGGGGAUAUUAGAUGACACGGAGGCAUUAUGUAUGUUGAGGGCUGUGUACAGGUGAACACCAUGGGAGGAAUCCAAAUAUCUUGGAGACUCCACCGCGUGCGAUGUGGGCUGCACUCUAAUCUGCAAUUAUGGUUGAGCCACGUUUGCUGGUUUUGGUAAUCACACUGGAAUAGCCCUGUUUUAGGCCGUUGUCAUUGACUGACUGGGAUAAUUGAGUAGAUUUCGAGCAUUAACCCAUGAAAGUACACAAGCUGUGAUGUCUGGCAGAACCUAAAGUUUAACUGAAUCCCACCAAUGUGUAUUGAGUUAACAAAUAUUACUACUCUCGAAACAUGAGGAUUUAACUUGUAUCAUACAGGUUGAGUCUCCCUUAUCCAAAAUGCUUGGGACCAGAGGUAUUUUGGAUAUCGGAUUUUUCCGUAUUUUGGAAUAAUUGCAUACCAUAAUGAGAUAUCAUGGUGAUGGGACCUAAAGCUAAGCACAGAAUGCAUUUAUGUUUCAUAUACACAUUAUACAAACUGUCUGAAGGUAAUUUUAGCCAAUAUUUUUUAUAACUUUGUGCAUUAAACAAAGUGUGUGUACAUUCACACAAUUCAUUAAUGUUUCAUAUACACCUUAUACACACAGCCUGAAGGUCAUUUAAUACAAUAUUUUUAAUAACUUUGUCUAUUAAACAAACUUUGUGUACAUUAAGCCAUCAAAAAACAAAGGUUUCACUAUCUCAGUCUCACUCAAAAAAGUCUGUAUUUCGGAAUAGUCCGUAUUUCGGAAUAUUUGGAUAUGGGAUACUCAACCUGUAUAAACAUAUACAAGAUAAGUUUUAUUUUAUAGAAAAUAAAUUCUCAGGACGUGAUCUCAAGGUGUGUAUUUCUGUAGUGUAAUAAUUCAGAUUGUGUUUCACGGGUUACCACUGUAUGUGCAAGGUCUGUGUUUCAUGGCAUGGUCUGUGCAAGCCUGGUCUUGGCAUGGUCUACGAGUGCUCUGUCAUGUUUUCAUUGGGAUGGUCUCUGUCAGUAAUCUUGUUUUACAUGGGUUUGUCUGUGAAAGCCCUGUAAUCUUUUCUUAGGGUGGUCUUCACGAAAUGUCAUUUUUUCAUGGGUUUUGUUCUGUGACAGCUCGGUCAUGUCUUCAUAGUCUGUGAGAUCUUUGUCGUUAUUUCAUAUGGUGGUCUGUGAGAAGUUUGUCAUGCUUUUAUGUGGAGGUCUGCGAAGGCCUUGCUAUGUUUGCAUGGGAUAUGGUCUAGGAAGACCCAAUAUUUCACGAAUUGAUCUGUUAAUGCAAACACUAUGAAGUCUUCAUUGAUCUGUGUCAUUCCUGACACACACACACACACACACACACACACACACACACACACACACACACACACACACACACACACACACAUAUAUAGUUCAUGUGAUGGCCUAUGUGAGUCUUACACUUCCUGGGGUAGUCGGUAAGAGUCCUGUUAUGUUUCCAUAUGAUGGCAUGUGAAAGAGAUUCCUGUCAUGUUUAGGGGUCUAUUCAUGAAGCAGUGAAAAGUUUGUAGAAGUGAGUCAGUGGAGAAGUUGCCUAUGGCAACCAUUCAGCUGCUCUGUAUAAUUUUAUAGUAUGCAAAUUAUAAAUGUUACUUCAAUGCUGAAUGGUUGCCAUGGGCAACUUCUCCACUGGCACACUUCUCCAUACUUUUCACUGCUUCAUGAAUAGACCACUUAGUCUACAGAUAUUUCUCCAAACACUGUGGCUUCAUUUGUGCUUAACAGCCCCUCUCUGCACGCCAGAUGCCAGGGUUUUAUGGGGUACCCAGGUCCUCUUCUGUAUUUCCUGGGGUGGCUCAGGUGUGCCCUGGCAUGUUUCAUGGGGUGAACAGUAUGAGUACUGUGGGUGUUAUAUUGUGCCUGUUAGAUAAUACUGUCAGUGAGAACCUCUGGAUACGAAAAAGGGCACAGGAGCAAUCAUACACAAUGGGAGCUAGAAGACAACUGGCUGUGGAGCAGCUAGUGAUGAUGUAUAAUGACAUCCCAUACAACAGUCUGUGUGGUGGCUGCAGAGGCCACUCUAUUUACAGAACAAAGUUCACUGUAUGGUAUAAAAUUGGUAUUUGGUUAAAAAAAGAUAUU